AUACGGAGGAUCCGAGCGUUAUCCGGAUUUAUUGGGUUUAAAGGGAGCGUAGGUGGACAGUUAAGUCAGUUGUGAAAGUUUGCGGCUCAACCGUAAAAUUGCAGUUGAUACUGGCUGUCUUGAGUACAGUAGAGGUGGGCGGAAUUCUGGGUGUAGAGGUGAAAUGCUUAGAUAUCACGAAGAACUCCGAUUGCGAAGGCAGCUCACUGGACUGCAACUGACACUGAUGCUCGAAAGUGUGGGUAUCAAACAGGAUUAGAUACCCUGGUAGUCCACACAGUAAACGAUGAAUACUCGCUGUUUGCGAUAUACAGUAAGCGGCCAAGCGAAAGCAUUAAGUAUUCCACCUGGGGAGUACGCCGGCAACGGUGAAACUCAAAUGAAUUGACGGGG
rnacentral:rRNA from 1 species